rnacentral:lncRNA from 1 species
UUUCUUUAUCAUAUUGUAGUUCAGUUCCUGUAGUUUCAGGUUACUUAUUGUUAGGGAUGGGUGCUGACAUUUCGGGUCCCCUGGCUGGCAGCCAAGAUUCAAGAGCACUGUUUUCUUGCUGUCAAAUCACAUUGCACCAACAUCAAGUUGGAUAUAAAAGUCCCCACAAGUAUCAAUAAAAGACUGAUGGUGCCUUUUAUUAUUCUUUGGGCUGAAGUGAGAAACUGGAAGGCUAAAAGACAUGCGGAUAAAUGUGACAGGCCGAGUAUGCUCUGUAGUGUCAGCUCCUUCCCAAAACCCCGCUAACACUAUGGCAAAGAAAAGGUAUAAACUUACAAGAACGAAGAAAAAUGGAGAGAAAAAGAUAUCAGAGAAGAAAGAUCAGCAGAACUUGGGAACGUGAAAAGUGGAAGGCUGAGUGCUGUCUUGGCAGAAGGGAAAGCUGAGAGGCAGCAGGCCAGCUCACAUCCAAGAACCUCGGAAGAGCUCAGGAAUUGAAGAUCUGAAAGCCGGAAGUCUGAGAUCAGAGUGACAGCAUGGUCAGCCUCUGCUGAGGACUGUCUUCAGGGUUGCAGACUGCAGACUUCUCAUUGUAUCCUCACAUGGUGGAAAGAGCAAGAUAACUUUCUGCGGUCUCCUUUAGAAGAACACUAAUUUCAUUCAUGAUGCCUCCUCUCUCAUGACCUAAUUAUCUUCCAAAGUCCCCACCUCCUAAUACCAUCACACUGGGGUAUGGAUUUCAACAUGUAACUUUUGGUGGGGAGUGGGAGAGGAGUACAAGCAUUCAGUCCAUAAUAACUACAUAAUAAAAAUAUUUAAAAAAUGAAAUUAUUAAACAGGAACACAGUACAA